AUGUGGGGCAAGGACAUAGCAAACAUAACCAGACAAUUGAAGUGCCGAAUAAUCUGGAAACAAUCAAAUAGGCGCUUGAAAGGAGUGCCACCCCUUCAGAGUUGUGGAUUGCUGAAGAUUGAUGUGAUAGAUGGAAGUGGAGACAGACUCGACCCAAAAGUGCGGCGGAAGAGAGGUAGUGACUAUCAACGGACGAGCCGUCUCAAGAAGGUGACUAUGCUUGCACUCAGCCACGCCAUCGCCAUUCUGAGCAUGUGCACUAGGACAAGAGGCCUGUGCAAGAUUACCUUGCUCAGUAAGGACUACACGUAA
rnacentral:rRNA from 1 species